rnacentral:pre_miRNA from 1 species
AAGUUCUGUGAUACACUUAGACUCUAAUUGCCUGCAGUCAGUGCAUUACAGAACUUUG